rnacentral:rRNA from 1 species
UACGUAGGUGGCAAGCGUUGUCCGGAUUUAUUGGGUUUAAAGGGUGCGUAGGCGGUUCUAUAAGUCAGUGGUGAAAUACGGCAGCUCAACUGUCGAGGUGCCAUUGAUACUGAAGAACUUGAGUACAGACGAGGUAGGCGGAAUUGACGGUGUAGCGGUGAAAUGCUUAGAUAUCGUCAAGAACACCGAUAGCGAAGGCAGCUUACUAGGCUGUAACUGACGCUGAGGCACGAAAGUGUGGGGAUCAAACAGG